CGCUGGCGGCGUGCUUAACACAUGCAAGUCGUACGCUGAAGCCCGCUUCGGUGGGUGGAUGAGUGGCGAACGGGUGAGGAACACGUGGGUAACCUGUCCUACACUUUGGGAUAAGCCUGGGAAACUGGGUCUAAUACCGAAUAGGAUUCCAUACUGCAUGGUGUGGGGUGGAAAGCUUUUUGAGUGGUGUGGGGUGGGCCCGCGGCCUAUCAGCUUGUUGGUGGGGUGAUGGCCUACCCAAGGCGGUGACGGGUAGCCGGCCUGAGAGGGUGACCGGCCACACUGGGACUGAGACACGGCCCAGACUCCUACGGGAGGCAGCAGUGGGGAAUCUUGCACAAUGGGCGAAAGCCUGAUGCAGCGACGCCGCGUGGGGGAUGACGGCCUUCGGGUUGUAAACCUCUUUCACCACCGACGAAGCGAGAGUGACGGUAGGUGGGGAAGAAGCACCGGCUAACUACGUGCCAGCAGCGGC
rnacentral:rRNA from 1 species